GGAUGAACGCUGGCGGCGUGCUUAACACAUGCAAGUCGAACGGAAAGGCCCAAGCUUGCUUGGGUGCUCGAGUGGCGAACGGGUGAGUAACACGUGGGUGAUCUGCCCUGCACUUUGGGAUAAGCCUGGGAAACUGGGUCUAAUACCGGAUAGGACCAUCGUUUAGUGUCGGUGGUGGAAAGUUUUUCGGUGUGGGAUGAGCUCGCGGCCUAUCAGCUUGUUGGUGGGGUAAUGGCCUACCAAGGCGUCGACGGGUAGCCGGCCUGAGAGGGUGUACGGCCACAUUGGGACUGAGAUACGGCCCAGACUCCUACGGGAGGCAGCAGUGGGGAAUAUUGCACAAUGGGCGCAAGCCUGAUGCAGCGACGCCGCGUGGGGGAUGACGGCCUUCGGGUUGUAAACUCCUUUCGCCAAGGACGAAGCGUUUUGUGACGGUACUUGGAGAAGAAGCACCGGCUAACUACGUG
rnacentral:rRNA from 1 species